rnacentral:rRNA from 1 species
GAUGAACGCUGGCGGCGUGCCUAAUACAUGCCAGUCGAGCGAACAGACGAGGAGCUUGCUCCUCUGACGUUAGCGGCGGACGGGUGAGUAACACGUGGAUAACCUACCUAUAAGGCUGGGAUAACUUCGGGAAACCGGAGCUAAUACCGGAUAAUAUAUUGAACCGCAUGGUUCAAUAGUGAAAGACGGUUUUGCUGUCACUUAUAGAUGGAUCCGCGCCGCAUUAGCUAGUUGGUAAGGUAACGGCUUACCAAGGCAACGAUGCGUAGCCGACCUGAGAGGGUGAUCGGCCACACUGGAACUGAGACACGGUCCAGACUCCUACGGGAGGCAGCAGUAGGGAAUCUUCCGCAAUGGGCGAAAGCCUGACGGAGCAACGCCGCGUGAGUGAUGAAGGUCUUCGGAUCGUAAAACUCUGUUAUUAGGGAAGAACAAAUGUGUAAGUAACUAUGCACGUCUUGACGGUACCUAAUCAGAAAGCCACGGCUAACUACGU